rnacentral:rRNA from 1 species
AUUGAACGCUGGCGGCAGGCCUAACACAUGCAAGUCGAGCGGAGCGGCGGACGGGUGAGUAAUGCCUAGGUCUCUGCCUGGUCGUGGGGGAUAGCGUCCGGUAACGGGCGCUAAUACCGCAUACUAUCAGAUGACCCUAGGUUGGAGUAGCUAGUUGGUGGGGUAAAGGCGUACCAAGGCGACGAUCCGUAACUGGUCUGAGAGGAUGAUCAGUCACACUGGAACUGAGACACGGGCCAGACUCCUACGGGAGGCAGCAGUGGGGAAUAUUGGACAAUGGGCGAAAGCCUGAUGCAGCCAUGCCGCGUGUGUGAAGAAGGUCUUCGGAUUGUAAAGCACUUUAAGUUGGGAGGCGUUACCAACAGAAUAAGCACCGGCUAACUACGUGCCAGCCGCCGCGGUAAUUC